UACGUAGGUGGCAAGCGUUGUCCGGAAUUAUUGGGCGUAAAGGGUGCGUAGGCGGUUGUUUAAGUCUGUCGUGAAAUCCCCGGGCUCAACCUGGGAAUGGCGAUGGAAACUGGGCAGCUAGAGUGUGUCAGAGGAUGGUGGAAUUCCCGGUGUAGCGGUGAAAUGCGUAGAGAUCGGGAGGAACAUCAGUGGCGAAGGCGGCCAUCUGGGACAACACUGACGCUGAAGCACGAAAGCGUGGGGAGCAAACAGG
rnacentral:rRNA from 1 species